GAUUUUUCUUAAUCACUAAGGCUCUAGUUUCGCUAUAUAAACAGCGCUCGACCCCUCGACCUUUCAUAUUCGCAAAGCAAAAACUGGUAAUCAUCGAUCUACCUUCGAAAUCUCUUUCUCCGAUUCUCAACUCAAGAUGCAAAUCUUUGUGAAAACACUUACUGGCAAGACCGUCACCCUCGAGGUUGAGAGCUCUGACACUAUUGAUAAUGUCAAGGCUAAGAUUCAGGAUAAGGAGGGAAUCCCUCCAGACCAGCAGAGAUUGAUUUUUGCUGGCAAACAGCUUGAGGAUGGCCGCACUCUGGCUGACUACAACAUCCAAAAGGAGUCAACCCUCCACUUGGUUCUCCGUCUGAGGGGUGGCAUGCAGAUUUUCGUGAAAACCCUGACCGGUAAAACUAUCACAUUGGAAGUUGAAAGUUCUGACACAAUUGACAAUGUCAAAGCAAAGAUUCAGGACAAGGAAGGUAUUCCACCAGAUCAGCAAAGGUUGAUAUUUGCUGGCAAACAGCUUGAAGAUGGUCGCACUCUUGCAGAUUACAAUAUUCAGAAGGAGUCCACCCUUCACCUGGUUCUUCGUCUUAGGGGUGGUAUGCAAAUCUUUGUGAAAACCCUCACUGGGAAAACCAUCACACUGGAAGUGGAGAGUUCUGACACAAUUGAUAAUGUUAAAGCCAAGAUUCAGGACAAGGAGGGAAUCCCCCCUGAUCAGCAGAGGUUGAUAUUUGCGGGCAAACAGCUAGAAGAUGGCAGGACCUUGCUGACUACAACAUUCAGAAGGAGUCUACUCUUCACUUGGUGCUUCGCCUUCGUGGUGGUAUGCAGAUAUUUGUUAAGACUCUGACAGGGAAGACUAUAACCUUGGAGGUCGAGAGUUCUGAUACAAUUGACAAUGUAAAAGCCAAGAUCCAAGAUAAGGAAGGAAUCCCACCAGAUCAGCAGAGGCUUAUCUUUGCAGGAAAACAGCUUGAAGAUGGUCGUACCCUUGCAGACUACAACAUCCAAAAGGAAUCCACCCUCCACUUGGUACUUAGACUUCGGGGAGGUAUGCAGAUUUUUGUGAAGACUCUUACUGGGAAGACAAUCACCUUGGAAGUUGAAAGUUCAGAUACCAUUGACAAUGUCAAGACUAAAAUCCAAGACAAGGAAGGGAUUCCACCAGACCAACAGAGGCUGAUUUUUGCUGGUAAGCAGUUGGAGGAUGGGAGGACCUUAGCUGAUUACAACAUUCAGAAGGAGUCAACUCUCCAUUUGGUGCUUCGAUUGCGUGGUGGAAUGCAGAUAUUUGUGAAGACGCUGACAGGAAAAACCAUUACUCUCGAGGUUGAGAGUUCUGAUACAAUUGAUAAUGUCAAAGCUAAGAUCCAAGACAAAGAGGGUAUUCCUCCUGAUCAGCAGAGGUUGAUCUUUGCAGGUAAGCAGCUGGAGGAUGGACGUACCCUGGCAGAUUACAACAUCCAGAAGGAGUCCACCCUGCAUCUUGUCCUCCGACUUCGUGGUGGUUUUUAAACUGUUGUCCUUCUAUAUGAAUGCCUAGCUAUUGGUAAUGGCUCCAAUAAGUAUCUUUACAAAUGUCUUUACUGUGCUUGGUUACAUGACUUUAAGGUCAUUGAUUUGAACAAUAUUUUCGGACUUAUGAAUGUGAUAUUGGUAUGUCCUGUUUGCUAUUAUCCAUCUGAUCUGAGUAUAUAGUCUCUUGAAUGUAAUUCUAUAUUUCCUUAUGUGCUAUUCUUACUCAAUGUCAGUAGUUCCGGUCAUUAUAGUAGUAUAUGACUGGAUUCGUUGACUAA